GUCAGGUCGUCCCAAGCUGUACAAGAACGCCACAACGGCGAAGCGUCCAUCUUUGCUCUGAUGAACCAUGUGUUCCUCGAGAACAAACCUAUGUAUGAACAUGUUGGGUUUUUCCCUCAUUAGCCCAAGACCCAAGAAGCCCAAGAAGAAGAAGAAAUAUCUAGAGAAAAAUGGAGAAGGAUGAAGAAGUGUGUAGAAAAGGAAGUGUGUAGAAGAUGAAGUGUGUAAAAGAUGAAGUGUGUAGAACUAACUUGUAGUCUCCACUUACUAGUAUAAAUAGGGGUGCUUAGCACCAUUUGUAAUCAUCCAAGAAUCAAGAAAAACAAAGAGAGAAAAUAUUUGUAAGAGAGAGUUUCCAAAAACAAAAUCUUUGUAGUAAACCCUUUCCUAAAUAUUAAGAGUCUUCUUCUUAAAUUUUCUAGUUGUCUAAUACCAUCUUCAUCUCAUCGAUAUUGGAUAAUUUUCCCAACAGCUGGUAUCAGAGCAAGGUUACCGUUAUCUUUGAAGAAGUGAAGAUGGAGGCCACCGUUACCUUUGAAGGUGACAUGUUCAAGCUCACGACGGACAACUUCUCUUAUUGGAAACCGAUGAUGGAAGAUCACCUUUAUUGUAAGGAUUUGCAUGAGCCCAUCAUCAUGAAGGAUAAGCCGGAAGGAAAGGAUGAUAAAGCAUGGGAGAUUCUUAAUAGAAAGGCGGUUGCCGUAAUCCGUAAGUAUGUCGACCGAUCUCUUUUUGAACAUGUCUCUACCUACACAAAUGCUUUUGAAUUAUGGACAAAACUUGAAUCCAUGAUUCAAAAGAAAACACCUCGAAACAAAGCUCUUCUUGUUCGACGGUUGGUAAAGUUGGAGUACAAGGAUGGCCAGAGCAUGAUGGAGCACUUGAACAAUUUCAAGGGGAUUGUAAAUCAGCUUAACAAAGUUGAUAUGAAGGUUGAAGACGAAAUGCAAGCCCUUUUACUCCUCAGUUCACUGCCGGAGAGUUGGGACACACUAGUUGUCACUCUAAGCAAUUCAGCACCGGAGGGAAAGCUUACCAUGGACACCGUCACUGAUAGCCUUCUAAACGAAGAAGUUCGCAGGAAGGAACGAGGUUCGAGUUCAUAUUCAGAAGCUAACAUUGUUGAUAGACGAGGUAGAGAAGAGACUCGUGGUCAAAACCGAAGCAGAGGACGAGACCAAUCUCGAGGAAGAUCCAAGUCACGUCCGAGAGUUACUUGCUAUUACUGUGGCAAACAGGGUCACAUGAAGUCGGAAUGUCGGUUUUUCAAGAAAGACAAACAAGCUGGUAAUAUCAAACCAGACCGGUUCAAUCCUACAAAGAAGCAUGAAGAAAAGACUACCACCAUUGUGGAAGACCAGAGCGAAGAGGCGAAGGGGAUCCAAUCAUGGAUCCGAAUGGUGAUGAAGGUGAAGAAGAAGUUCAAGUGGAGCCAGAGGAAGAACAUGAGCCAAGAAGGUCUGGAAGAGAGACAAGACCAUCUGUAAGAUAUUAUCGAGAUGAGUACGUUAAUCUUACAGAUGAGGGGGAGCCUCAAAGCUAUGAGGAGGCCAUAGGAGACACCCAUAAAGAUAAGUGGGUUGAAGCUAUGCAAGAUGAAAUGCAAUCCUUGCAUGAUAAUCACACUUAUGAGCUGAUGAAGCUACCAAAAGGAAAGAGAGCCUUGAAGAACAAGUGGGUGUAUAGGUUGAAGUAUGAAGAUAGAAGCUCAAAUCCAAGAUACAAAGCUCGAUUGGUUGUGAAAGGAUUCAACCAAAAGAAAGGCAUAGAUUUUGAAGAAAUAUUCUCUCCAGUGGUGAAGAUGUCCUCUAUCCGAGUGGUUCUUGGUCUAGCAGCAGUUCUAGACUUGGAGAUUGAACAACUCGAUGUCAAGACGGCCUUUCUACAUGGUGAACUCGAGGAGGAGAUCUAUAUGGAGCAACCUGAAGGAUUCAAGGUUCCAGGAAAAGAAGACUUGGUGUGCCGAUUAAAGAAGAGUCUUUACGGUCUCAAGCAAGCCCCAAGACAAUGGUAUAAGAAGUUUGACUCCUUCAUGGUGGAUCACAACUUCAAGAAAACCAAGAACGAUCAUUGCGUUUUUAUAAAGAGGUACGAAAGCGGCGACUUUCUCAUAUUAUUACUCUAUGUUGACGAUAUGUUGAUUGUGGGCCAAGAUCGCAACAAAAUAGCCGCAUUGAAGAAUGACCUAGGAGAGUCCUUUGCAAUGAAAGAUUUGGGGCAAGCGAGACAGAUUCUUGGAAUGAAAAUCACUCGGGAUAGACCAAAGAAGCUUUUGUGGUUAUCCCAAGAACGAUAUGUUGAAAGGGUGUUGGAGAGAUUCAACAUGAAUAAGGCAAAGCCAGUGAACACUCCACUUGGUGGACAUUUCAAGUUAUGUUCGGAGCAAAGUCCAACAAGUGAGAAAGAGAAAGAAGAAAUGAAGACUACCCCAUAUGCAUCAGCAGUAGGCAGUCUCAUGUAUGCUAUGGUGUGCACCAGACCGGACAUUGCCUAUGCAGUAGGAGUUGUGAGUCGCUUUCUAGCGAAUCCAGGAAAGGAGCAUUGGAAAGCAGUUAAGUGGAUCCUACGCUAUCUACGAGGCACAACGAAGAAGUGUCUAUGUUUUGGCAAUGGAAAAUUGGAGCUGAACGGUUACACCGAUGCAGAUUGGGCUGGUGAUAAAGAUUCAAGGAAAUCAACAUCAGGAUUUGUGACUACCUUUGCAGGGGGAGCUGUUUCCUGGCAAUCGAAAUUACAAAAGUGUGUUGCCUUAUCCACAACGGAAGCGGAGUACAUCGCAGCAACGGAAGCAUGCAAGGAGAUGCUAUGGAUGAAGAACUUCUUGCUUGAGUUGAGAGUAAAGCAAGACAAGUACAACAUGCUAUGUGACAACCAAAGUGCUAUUCACUUAGCAAAGAAUCCAACGUUUCACUCUCGCUCAAAGCACAUUGAUAUCCGACAUCACUGGAUCCGAGAAGUUCUGGAAGAGAAGCUCAUACAUCUCACAAAGGUACACACCGACGAAAAUUGGUCAGACUUUAUGACCAAAGUAUUACCGAUCAAGAAGUUUGAAGAUUGCUGCAAAGGCACAGGCAUGGCGACUGUUUCGGGCUAAAUCGGGAAGGGGGAGAUUUGUUGGGUUUUUCCCUCAUUAGCCCAAGACCCAAGAAGCCCAAAAAGAAGAAGAAAUAUCUAGAGAAAAAUGGAGAAGGAUGAAGAAGUGUGUAGAAAAGGAAGUGUGUAGAAGAUGAAGUGUGUAGAAGAUGAAGUGUGUAGAAGAUGAAGUGUGUAGAAGAUGAAGUGUGUAGAAGAUGAAGUGUGUAGAACUAACUUGUAGUCUCCACUUACUAGUAUAAAUAGGGGUGCUUAGCACCAUUUGUAAUCAUCCAAGAAUCAAGAAAAACAAAGAGAGAAAAUAUUUGUAAGAGAGAGUUUCCAAAAACAAAAUCUUUGUAGUAAACCCUUUCCUAAAUAUUAAGAGUCUUCUUCUUAAAUUUUCUAGUUGUCUAAUACCAUCUUCAUCUCAUCGAUAUUGGAUAAUUUUCCCAACAGAACAUUAUUCAAUCAUUGCAUGCGUGCUAUCACAUCAAAUAAGCCCUCGAGACAUGUAUACUUUUUUUAACAGUGACAUAACCAUUCUCACAAAUAUGAUUACAGUAUAAUAAACAUGUACACGAGUAGAGAAACC
rnacentral:lncRNA from 1 species